GGGCAAGUUUGGCAUGGCUUGGCACAUGAUUGCUUGCUUGCUAGCUGCCUUUAGUUCUUGGACAUCCUGAUGCUUGAGUUAUGCCUGCUUGCUUGCUAUCUACCCUAAUUCUUAGACAUGCUGAUGGUUGACGUAUGCUUGCUUGCUAGCUACCUCAGUUCUUAGAUAUUCUGAUGGUUGAGGUAUGCUGUAUGCCUGCAGGCAAGGUAAGGUUAGGUCAGGCCUUGAGGUAAUUCGCUGCUAGAUUCCUUGUGUAGGUGUGAAGAAAUAUGUUUAUGUACAAGUACAUAUUUAAGUACGACCCUGUUGCUGUGAUGUAGUUUUCUUUCCGGAAAGUAGAUCAUAUAAUUACUGAGAUAUACUAGUAGAUCACAUAAAGCAUUAUAUAUAUUUUGUUGUCUAGAAUCUAACGAUUUACAUUCUGAUUUUAAACUUGUGCCUGUGGGAAAUGAAGGAGGCGUAAUUGUUUCAAGUCCAGCUAAAAAGUGAAAGGAGGAAGAUGUGGAAGGUGGAGUAAGCAGACGCACUUGGAGUACCCUAAAGGGGGAGAAAGCAUAUGCAAUCAAACCGGCUGAAGCAGGCACUCUUUGUAAG